rnacentral:rRNA from 1 species
CCUGGUUGAUCCUGUCAGUAGCAUUUGCUUGUCUCAAAGAUUAAGUCACACACCUGGUAAGUACACACAGCCGGUGUGCUGAAACAGCAAAUGGCUCAUUAAAUGAGUCAUGGUUCCGUUGGUCGCUUCAUAUGUUACUUAGAUAACUGUGCUAAUCCUCGAGCUGAUACAUGCCGACGAGCACUGACCUCCCGGAUGCUUCCACUCAUCAGACCUAAACAAAUUUGGGCUCCCCUGGCUGCUUUGGUGACCCUAGAUAACCUCGGACCAAUACAUUCUGAUGUCAGCCCUAUCAUCUUCUGAUGGUACUUUCUGUGCCUACCAUGGUGAGCAUGUGUAGCUGGGAAUCAGGGUUUGAUUGUGGAGAGGGAGCCUGAGAAACAGCUAUCGCAUCAAGGAAGGCAGGAGGCGCUCAAAUUUCCCACUCCUAACUUGGAGAGGUAGGGAUGAAAAUUAACAAUGCAGGAUUCAUACGAGGCCGGUAAUUGGAAUGGGUACACUUUAAAUCCUAUAAUUAGGAUCCAUUAGAGGGCAAGUCUGGUGCCAGCAACCACAGUAAUUCCAGCUGCAAUAACGUAUAUUAAAGUUGCUGCAGUUAAAUAUCUCAGUAGUUUGAUUUUGAGAUUGAGCUGCCGGUCUCUCGCAAGGUGAGCUGCCGCCUGUCCCACGACCUGCCUCUCGGCACCACCUUGAUGCUCUUGACUGAAUGUCCUGGGGGUCUGGAGCAUUUACUUAGAAAAAAUCAGAGUGUUUAAAGCAGGCCGUUCACCUGAAUACAUGAGCUCAGAAUAAUGGAAUAGGAGUGCAUUUCUUGGUUUUUGGGUGCAUUCGUAUUGUGCUGCUAGAAGUGAAAUUCUUGCACCUGCACAGGAGGAACCAAAGCAAAAGCAUUACCCAAGAAGUUUUUUAUUAUCCAAGAAUGCAAGUUGUUGCUGUUAAAAAUGGCAACCGUUAUUCUAUAUCACAUAGGUACCUUAUAGUUCUGCUUAGAACAACUUGGUGUUAUGUUGUUGCCGUAAGGUAGUUUGCAUGGAGAGUCCUUGAUGCUAAGUGUCUUAAGCGUUCUUUACCGCUAUUCCGAACUGCACUGAAUUUGCAGUUUCACCCGCCAUCUGUAACAGAACAAAGCAGAGAAAUGAUCAGUUGCUUAGCUGGU